UACGUAGGCAGCGAGCGUUGUUCGGAAUUACUGGGCGUAAAGAGUGUGUAGGCGGCGCUCUAAGUUCGGUGUGAAAUCUCUCGGCUUAACUGGGAGGGUGCGCCGGAAACUGGAGUGCUCGAACGUGGGAGAGGAAAGCGGAAUUCCUGGUGUAGCGGUGAAAUGCGUAGAUAUCGGAAGGAACAUCAGUGGCGAAAGCGGCUUCCUGGACCAGUACCGACGUUCAGGCACGAAAGCUAGGGGAGCAAACAGG
rnacentral:rRNA from 1 species